ensembl:ncRNA
AGUUAAAAGCCUCUGUUCUAAG